GUUGGCUUAGGAAUUCACUCCAACCCCUGUGACAUACCUAUAAUUUGCCUCGGCGGACUCAACGACGGUGCUCCGAGAAAUCGGUCGCCGCUCGCUGCCAGAGGAACCCCAAACUCUAUGUAUUCUUGUGGAUCUUCUGAGUAAAACAAAACAAAUAAAUCAAAACUUUCAACAACGGAUCUCUUGGUUCUGGCAUCGAUGAAGAACGCAGCGAAAUGCGAUAAGUAAUGUGAAUUGCAGAAUUCAGUGAAUCAUCGAAUCUUUGAACGCACAUUGCGCCCGCCAGUAUUCUGGCGGGCAUGCCUGUUCGAGCGUCAUUUCAACCCUCAAGCCCCCGGGCUUGGUGUUGGGGAUCGGCGAUAGCCGCCGUCCCCCAAAUCUAGUGGCGGUCUCGCUGUAGCCUCCAUUGCGUAGUAGCUAACACCUCGCAACUGGAACGCGGCGCGGCCAAGCCGUUAAACCCCCAACUUCUGAAUGUUGACCUCGGAUCAGGUAGGAAUACCCGCUGAACUUAAGCAUAUCAAUAAGCGGAGGAA
rnacentral:rRNA from 1 species